AUGAUAUUCUGAUCCUAUUUCAAAUAAUAACUUAGACAUAAAAUUUGUCUUGAAUCAGUGGGUUUUCAAACCUGGCUUGUCAUCUGAAUCACCUUGGCAGCUUCCCAGCAUUUCUGAAAAUCAGCGAUGCUUACAAGUGCUGCAUUGGGUCAUCUAGUUCAACUUCCUCCUUUAAGAGAAUGACUCAGAAAACUUAGUCUCAUUCAUAUGACAGAUCUUCUUAAUCCAUGUUGAAUGAUUUUCCAUCCCCACCUCAACCCCUAAGAUUUUAUGUUUCUACUUUCACAUCGAUUUUACUAACAUUCUUUCUUCCCUAUAAGGGAAUCCACAGUGAAGAUGCAUUAUUUCAGAGGAGACUGGAUCAAUAUUCCUUCUUCAACCUGUCACACAGAGAAGAGAGGCGCCUCUGUUUUCCCAUCAGGGAUGAGUACAGGAAACGGCAGCAUAUUUUCCACUUGUGAGUAAUUUUUUAUCUAAUUUUUCAAGUUGAGAAAGAUCACCAUGCUGUAUGAAAUAUAACCACAACACAUAAGACAUGUUAUAAAUUUGAAUGUGUGUAGACUAAACAAUAUUAUGGGGUUUUCUACCAUUACCCUCUAUAAGCAUAUCUAAAUAUCUAAAAAGCCUAAAUUUCUAUAAAGAAAUACGUGUCAGAAUUAGAGCAAGAAGUCUAUCAAAUGCAAGGAAACCUUUUAUUUUACUUGCGUAAAUGGUUCAGAGUUCCUAUGUACAUUCUUUACCCGGAU
rnacentral:lncRNA from 1 species